AUAAGGAAUCUUUGCAGAACAGCGUCAGAAAAAUGCCAAGACAGUGCAAUGCUACCUUCAUACGUGUCACUGGAGUUAACCUCUGAUGCUGUGAUGGCGCAGGAUCUGUCAAUCAUUUACCCCAGCUUCCAGAAGAUCAAUGGGAGUUGGUUUUGCAACAACACAGGGGAAGAAAUUCUUUGGGGACGUAGAACCAGGAAAAGCCGAGUCUUAACCCUGUAAAAGAAGCUAGAAGAGAUUUCAGCCUGCGAUGGAAACACUAUGCUCCGGCCUCCAUGGUUCCUCCGAAGUGGCUUCCUUGUGCCCCUGGUUUCUGCAGGAGUCAGGAGGAUGACCACCCCAGAGGACAGUAAGACUGUUCCCAUGUUGUUUUGUUGUUGUUUGUCAUUUCAUCUGUGCCAGAUAAUUCCCUGAGUGUACUGUGAUCAUCCACUGCAAUGUGUUUCCCCCAUUUUUCUACUGCCUGUGUGCCUCUCUCCCUCCUGGUGGACACGUGAUAUUUUAUUCCUUUGCCAUCCUGGCCCUUUGGAAAGCUUUCUGACCUUCCUCAUUUCAGUGUCACAUCAUUGGUUAGAUGUCUCCAUUAUCAUCCCUGGCAUACGACAGUGUGGUUAUUGUAUGUGACCAUCACAUGGACUUGUUCUGUUCAUCCCAGCUCAUCUUAUUUUUUUUUCCAAAAUCUGCCCCCCCUUUUUUGUAUUGGGUUCUUUCUUGCACAUAUCACAGGACAACUCUUGGGUAGGCCUGUCCCUCUUUCUGUUGUCAGACACACUUGCCUUGGCCAAGUAAUUAGUUUGGUUGCUGUACACCUGUUCCUCUGCUUCCCAUUUCCUAGUCUCUGAUGAUCUUUCUCCUGCAUGUCCCUAAAUUACAUUUUCUCUCAUUCACUCCCUGUGACUUUGUCAAUUUGCUCUGCUUUUUUGAAGUGUUAUUUUCUGUAUAAUAAUUGGCCUUCUUUAUUUCAAAUUGACUAAUUGGGAAACUCCUUAUUUUCUAUGCAACAUUUUGAAUACUGAGGUCAAACAUCAUUAAAGCAGACUCUACCAAUUACUUUAUAUAUGCUGCUUAACAAAUUGCUUAACAAAUAAUGCACUUGGGAUGCCUGGGUAGCUCAGUGGUUGGCUUUUGCUUUUGGCUCAGGGAGUGAUCCCGGAGUCCCAGGAUUGAGUCCCACAUCGGACUCCUCGCAUGGAGCCUGCUUCUCCCCCGCCUCUCUCUCUGCCUCUGUGUCUUUCACAAAUAAUAAAAUCCAAAUUAAUUAAUUAAUACUAAUGGUU
rnacentral:lncRNA from 12 species